AUUGAACGCUGGCGGCAGGCCUAACACAUGCAAGUCGAACGAGUGGCGGACGGGUGAGUAAUGUCUGGGAAACUGCCUGAUGGAGGGGGAUAACUACUGGAAACGGUAGCUAAUACCGCAUACCAGCGGGUGUGCCCAGAUGGGUUUGGCUGGUAGGUGGGGUAAAGGCUUACCUAGGCGACGAUCCCUAGCUGGUCUGAGAGGAUGAUCAGCCACACUGGGACUGAGACACGGCCCAGACUCCUACGGGAGGCAGCAGUGGGGAAUAUUGCACAAUGGGCGCAAGCCUGAUGCAGCCAUGCCGCGUGUAUGAAGAAGGCCGUCGGGUUGUAAAGUACUUUCAGUCGGGAGGCGUUACCCACAGAAGAAGCACCGGCUAACUCCGUGCCAGCAGCCGCGGUAAUUC
rnacentral:rRNA from 1 species